rnacentral:rRNA from 1 species
GAGUGCGAUCAUACCAACAAUGAUGUACCAGAUUCUAUCAGAACUUCAUCGUUAAACGUGUUUAAGUGAGAGUAGUACUAAAAUGAAUGACCUCUUGAUAAGUCAUCAUGUUGCAUCUC